rnacentral:snRNA from 1 species
GUCUCUGGGGAGACAUUUGAUAAAAUUGGAAUGAUACAGAGAACAUUAGCAUGGCCCUUGCACAAGGAUGACACACAUAAAUCGAGAAAUGUUCUUAUGAUUG